rnacentral:rRNA from 1 species
UAAUACGUAGGGGGCGAGCGUUGCUCGGAUUGACUGGGCGUAAAGCGCGCGUAGGCGGUCCAUUAAGUGUGCGGUGAAAUUCAGAGGCUCAACCUCUGUCCCGCCGCGCAAACUGGUGGUCUUGAGAUUGGGAGGGGGAUGCGGAAUUCCUGGUGUAGCGGUGAAAUGCAUUGAUAUCAGGAGGAACACCGGCGGCGAAAGCGGCAUCCUGGCUUAUAUCUGACGCUGAGGCGCGAAAGCGUGGGUAGCAAACGGG